rnacentral:rRNA from 1 species
UAGCUAGUUGGUGGGGUAAGGGCCUACCAAGGCGACGAUCGGUAGCUGGUCUGAGAGGAUGACCAGCCACACUGGAACUGAGACACGGUCCAGACUCCUACGGGAGGCAGCAGUGGGGAAUAUUGGACAAUGGGGGCAACCCUGAUCCAGCAAUGCCGCGUGUGUGAAGAAGGCCUGAGGGUUGUAAAGCACUUUCAGUGGGGAGGAGGGUUGAUAGGUUAAGAGCUGAUUAACUGGACGUUACCCACAGAAGAAGCACCGGCUAACUCCGUGCCAGCAGCCGCGGUAAUACGGAGGGUGCGAGCGUUAAUCGGAAUUACUGGGCGUAAAGGGUGCGUAGGNGGUUGAUUAAGUUAUCUGUGAAAUUCCUGGGCUUAACCUGGGACGGUCAGAUAAUACUGGUUGACUCGAGUAUGGGAGAGGGUAGUGGAAUUUCCGGUGUAGCGGUGAAAUGCGUAGAGAUCGGAAGGAACACCAGUGGCGAAGGCGGCUACCUGGCCUAAUACUGACACUGAGGCACGAAAGCGUGGGGAGCAAACAGGAUUAGAUACCCUGGUAGUCCACGCUGUAAACGAUGUCAACUAGCUGUUGGUUAUAUGAAAAUAAUUAGUGGCGC